AAAUAAAGAUAAGAAUUUAAGAAUACAAAAAUAAAAACAGAAAAAUACUUCCCUUUCUUGAUAUUCUUUUCUUUUUCUUCUUCCUACUGAAUUUUUUCAAAAAGUUGAGAACACCAAGCACUUGUUUCCAUGUCUCAAUAUAGGAACUUUAAUCUCCAAUUUCUUGAAGAUUUCCGUAAAGCACUUAAACUUAUUUUCUUUCCUAUGAUUUUUCUUUUGAUGAGGGAGAGGUUUUGCAUAUGAUCUUUUCUUCUUUCCUCUCUUCCUCUUUUUCUUAAUCUUNUCCUCCCUCAACUUUCUCUUUUUAUUUUUCCUUGAUUUCUUCUUUUUUAUUUUUGCACUUUUUUUCUUUUUUUCUUUUUUUCUUUUCUCUCAACCACUUCUUUUUCUUUCUCCUCAUCUUUCUCUCCCUCACUCAACCUUUUUGUUUCUUUCUCUUCUAUCUUUUCCUUAUUUCUCUCCAUUUUUUCUCCUCUAUCUUCUCUUCAUAUAUCUCUAUCUUUUCCUCCUCUAUUUUUUCCUUAUUUCUCUCCAUUUUUUUCUUCUCUAUCUUCUCCUCAUUUAUCUCUAUCUCUUUUUCCUCUAUCUUCUCCUCAUUUCUCUCCAUGUUUUUCUCCUCUAUCUUCUCCUCCUUUUUCUCCAUUUUUUCCUCCUCUAUCUUUUCCUCAUCACCAACAUUAUAUCAAUUUCAAAUUUAGUGGCUUGACAUUCCUCCCUAGGGUUAACCUUAGUAUUAACCCUAGAAUUCAAUAUCUCAUUGGAGUGACAAAUCUGUAUCUCCAACCUUUUAUUUCU
rnacentral:lncRNA from 1 species